rnacentral:rRNA from 1 species
GUUAAGUGACUAAGCGUACACGGUGGAUGCCUUGGCAGUCAGAGGCGAUGAAGGACGUAGUAACUUGCGAUAAGCGUAGAUGAGGCAGUAACAGCCACUUGAGUCUACGAUUUCCGAAUGGGGAAACCCACUGGCAUAAGCCAGUAUCAUUGAGUGAAUACAUAGCUCAAUGAAGCGAACCGGGAGAACUGAAACAUCUAAGUACCCCGAGGAAAAGAAAUCAACCGAGAUUCCGAAAGUAGCGGCGAGCGAAAUUGGAUUAGCCCUUAAGCUUUACAUGUGUUAGACGAACGGUCUGGAAAGUCCGACGAUACAGGGUGAUAGUCCCGUAGUUGUAGAUGCAUGUUCAGUGAAAUCGAGUAGGGCGGGACACGUGUUAUCCUGUCUGAAUAUGGGGGGACCAUCCUCCAAGGCUAAAUACUCCUGACUGACCGAUAGUGAACCAGUACCGUGAGGGAAAGGCGAAAAGAACCCCUGUGAGGGGAGUGAAAUAGAACCUGAAACCGUGUACGUACAAGCAGUAGGAGCACCUUCGUGGUGUGACUGCGUACCUUUUGUAUAAUGGGUCAGCGACUUAUAUUCAGUGGCAAGGUUAACCAUCUAGGGGAGCCGUAGGGAAACCGAGUCUUAACUGGGCGCCAUAGUCUCUGGAUAUAGACCCGAAACCGAGUGAUCUAGCCAUGGGCAGGUUGAAGGUUGAGUAACAUCAACUGGAGGACCGAACCGACUAAUGUUGAAAAAUUAGCGGAUGACUUGUGGCUAGGGGUGAAAGGCCAAUCAAACUCGGAGAUAGCUGGUUCUCCCCGAAAGCUAUUUAGGUAGCGCCUCGGACGAAUACUACUGGGGGUAGAGCACUGUUAAGGCUAGGGGGUCAUCCCGACUUACCAACCCUUUGCAAACUCCGAAUACCAGUAAGUACUAUCCGGGAGACACACGGCGGGUGCUAACGUCCGUCGUGGAGAGGGAAACAACCCAGACCGCCAGCUAAGGUCCCAAAUUACAGCUAAGUGGGAAACGAUGUGGGAAGGCUUAGACAGCUAGGAUGUUGGCUUAGAAGCAGCCAUCAUUUAAAGAAAGCGUAAUAGCUCACUAGUCGAGUCGGCCUGCGCGGAAGAUGUAACGGGGCUAAGUUGUAAACCGAAGCUGCGGCAAUAUCUUUUAGAUAUUGGGUAGGGGAGCGUUCUGUAAGCCGUUGAAGGUGUGUUGUAAAGCAUGCUGGAGGUAUCAGAAGUGCGAAUGCUGACAUGAGUAACGACAAGGGGGGUGAAAAACCUCCCCGCCGGAAGACCAAGGGUUCCUGUCCAACGUUAAUCGGGGCAGGGUA